UACGAAGGGGGCUAGCGUUGUUCGGAAUUACUGGGCGUAAAGGGCGCGUAGGCGGAUGAAUAAGUCAGGGGUGAAAUCCCGAGGCUCAACCUCGGAACUGCCUUUGAUACUGUUUAUCUAGAGAUCGGAAGAGGUGAGUGGAAUUGCGAGUGUAGAGGUGAAAUUCGUAGAUAUUCGCAAGAACACCGGUGGCGAAGGCGGCUCACUGGUCCGAUACUGACGCUGAGGCGCGAAAGCGUGGGGAGCAAACAGG
rnacentral:rRNA from 1 species